rnacentral:tRNA from 1 species
GCAUGCCCGGCCGAGUGGUUAGUGCGUUGCUUGUUAAGGUCAAGGUCACGAGUUCGAUCCCCGGCGUAUACG